rnacentral:rRNA from 1 species
AUUGAACGCUGGCGGCAUGCCUUACACAUGCAAGUCGAACGGCAGCGCGGACUUCGGUCUGGCGGCGAGUGGCGAACGGGUGAGUAACGCAUCGGAACGUGCCCUGUAGUGGGGGAUAACUCUCCGAAAGGAGUGCUAAUACCGCAUAUACUGUGAGCAGGAAAGCAGGGGACCUUCGGGCCUUGUGCUAUGGGAGCGGCCGAUGUCAGAUUAGCUAGUUGGUGGGGUAAAGGCCUACCAAGGCGACGAUCUGUAGCGGGUCUGAGAGGAUGAUCCGCCACACUGGGACUGAGACACGGCCCAGACUCCUACGGGAGGCAGCAGUGGGGGAUUUUGGACAAUGGGCGUAAGCCUGAUCCAGCAAUGCCGCGUGCAGGAAGAAGGCCUUCGGGUUGUAAACUGCUUUUGUCAGGGAAGAAAUCUUCUGGGUUAAUACCUCGGGAGGAUGACGGUACCUGAAGAAUAAGCACCGGCUAACUACGUGCCAGCCGCCGCGGUAAGAC